rnacentral:rRNA from 1 species
GACGAACGCUGGCGGCGUGCUUAACACAUGCAAGUCGAACGGAAAGGCCCUGCUUUUGUGGGGUGCUCGAGUGGCGAACGGGUGAGUAACACGUGAGUAACCUGCCCUUGACUUUGGGAUAACUUCAGGAAACUGGGGCUAAUACCGGAUAUGAGCUCCUGCUGCAUGGUGGGGGUUGGAAAGUUUCGGCGGUUGGGGAUGGACUCGCGGCUUAUCAGCUUGUUGGUGGGGUAGUGGCUUACCAAGGCUUUGACGGGUAGCCCGCCUGAGAGGGUGACCGGCCACAAUGGGACUGCGAUACGGCGCAGAAUCGUACGGGAGGCAGCAGUGGGGAAUAUUGCACAAUGGGCGGAAGCCUGAUGCAGAAACGCCGCGAUCGGGAUGACGGCCUUCGGGUUGUAAACAGAUUUGGAAUGUGACGAAGAGUGAGUGACGGUAAUGGGUAAAGAAGCAACGGCUAACUACGUG